ensembl:lncRNA
CUUUUCCUGUCCUUGCAUCUCAGCUCCACCCACUUAGGAUGUGUGGGAAGGAUGCAAGGAUGAGAUCUGAGGAGAGAGGAAUUGGAGCAAGUCAAAUGGAAUAUCUUCACUCUCUCGAGCAUCACUUCAAAGCGACGUCACUUAAUGAUGACUGGGCUCAGCUGAAUGACCUCACUGUGCUUCAGGGAUCUGCUGUUAUGUUGUUGGAGCUCGGCUAAAUGCACUGAUACUGAACCAAUGCACCCCUCUCGGACUCUGAUGCCUCAGCCCAGCUCCUUGGGUCAAAUGAACUCAGUGCGGACUGUUUGACUUCGCCUCAGGUGAAUGGUUUUUGAGAUGAGGAAACCAAACGACCACAGCUUUUCAAAUGGAUGGGAGCGGGACUCUUGUCUUCCCAGAUGGCAGGGAGA